UUAUUUAUUGAGUGCAUCAUUGUUGUACAAAUUGUUUGAUUGCUUCUUUAACCCGUUGAGGACACAUGGGGUCCAACGGACCCCAGACAAAUUUCAAUGCAAUUUUAAAUCUACAAAGACCCUUAGGAAUUAGAUAUAUAGCACCAUUUGUUGUUGUUUGAAGUCUCCACAACAAGUUUUGACACGUUACGAAGGUCUCUUUGGCAUUAGUCAUCCUGCAGAGACAUAUUAGUGCGCACGUGUUUUUUUUUUGGGGUUCUGUAGACCCCGUGUGGCCGUACUGUGGCAAAAUCUUGAAAAAAUUCAAUUUUUUUUUUAUCGUUGAUUGAUGUUAUAUUGUUUCUGUAAACGUAAGUAUUUAUGCAUGAAUUGAAUUUUUUUUUUUCAGCAAUAAAUAAUGGUUAUUAAUUAAAUAUAUA